rnacentral:lncRNA from 1 species
CAAUUAUUCCAUUUGUAGCAGCACACACACAUCUAUGCCCAUGAUUUGUGCACAUUGUGCCCAAUUCAUCCCAUAAGCCUUUGAGCUUGUUAAAGUAUCAAUUAUUCCAUUUUUAGCAUCACACACGCAUCUAUGCCCAUGAUUUGUGCACAUUGUGCCCAAUUCAUCCACAAGCCUUUGAGCUUGUUAAAGUAUGAGGCUAUGUUUAAGGAGCCUUGAGAUGUGUGGGAGAGUUCCCUUUUUAAUUCAAAAAUAUUGGUCUUGUUAGGGGUACCAUAUCUUUUCUCAAUUUGGGACCAUAUACUCUGUGCAGUAUCGGAAUACUACACAUGAGCUUGUUAAAGUAUGAGGCUAUGUUUAAGGAGCCUUGAGAUGUGUGGGAGAGUUCCCUUUUUAAUUCAAAAAUAUUGGUCUUGUUAGGGUACCAUAUCUUUUCUCAAUUUGGGACCAUAUACUCUGUGCAGUAUCGGAAUAUUGCACACUGUCAGCAAUUUGAGGAGACAGGGAGGAGGUCAACCAGGAAAUGACCAUAUCAUUACACCUAUCCCACAGUCUCUGUUGAGCCACAUUAGUGGUAGGACGAGGACAUGAACCGUCNNNNNNNUAGGAGGUCAACCAGGAAAUGACCAUGUUAUUACACCUAUCACACAGUCUCUGUUGAGCCACAUUAGUGGUAGGACGAACAUGAACCGUCAACAAUUUAGCAUAUAAAGCAACAAUCAUCUUACGCCUCCAGCCCCCAUAACCACUACCCGAGAAGGGAAGAGAGACCCCAGGGACAUCAGAGGAAUAUACAGAAAGGGGACUGGUAGAGUCUAUUGAGGCGGAGGUACCAGCACUCGUAUUAGAAGCCAUAACCAAACCAGAUAUUCACACACAAAACCACAUAUUCACACACAAAAACCAGAUACUCACAUACGGAGCCAGAUAAUCACAUACAAAGCAUACAAUACUCAAGAUAAGGAAAGAGUUACCCUCCUUCUUCGCGACCGGAGAUGAUCGGCCUUCAAUCAGACAGAGAAAACCCUAGGUACAAAACCCUAUGUGCAACCGUCGAAAUCCUUACUAGAUGUAUGGUCAGGGAAGUCGGAAAGUCACCGAAAACAUCCACUUAGUGAGAAUCGAGCCACCAGAUAGCAAUAAAACCCUAGGUUAAACCACCAGAAACCCUAGAAGCCGAUAGGUCACCCAAAAAUCAUCAAAAAAAUCUCCCAGAACGUUCGAGUGAAGAAAAUACACUCAGAUAUCACGAUGAAAAACUCAGAAAGGCAUCCGAUUUAGAUCGGAAUCGUCAUCGACCACAAAGUCUCAGAAACACCCCCAAAAAUCUCAAAGGAGACUUCAACCAAGAUAACG